rnacentral:rRNA from 1 species
CGGUUAUAAGAUCCCUCAAAGAUGAUGAGGUUAAUAGGUUCGAGGUGGAAGCAUGGUGACAUGUGGAGCUGACGAAUACUAAUCGAUCGAAGACUUAAUCAA